rnacentral:rRNA from 1 species
UACGGAGGGGCUAGCGUUGUUCGGAAUUACUGGGCGUAAAGCGCGCGUAGGCGGACCUGCAAGUCGGGGGUGAAAGCCCGAGGCUCAACCUCGGAACUGCCUUCGAUACUGCGGGUCUCGAGUCCGGGAGAGGUGAGUGGAAUUCCUAGUGUAGAGGUGAAAUUCGUAGAUAUUAGGAAGAACACCAGUGGCGAAGGCGGCUCACUGGCCCGGUACUGACGCUGAGGCGCGAAAGCGUGGGAGCA